rnacentral:rRNA from 1 species
UACGAAGGGGGCUAGCGUUGCUCGGAAUCACUGGGCGUAAAGCGCACGUAGGCAGGUUCUUAAGUCAGGGGUGAAAUCCUGGAGCUCAACUCCAGAACUGCCUUUGAUACUGAGGAUCUCGAGUCCGGGAGAGGUGAGUGGAACUGCGAGUGUAGAGGUGAAAUUCGUAGAUAUUCGCAAGAACACCAGUGGCGAAGGCGGCUCACUGGCCCGGUACUGACGCUGAGGUGCGAAAGCGUGGGGAGCAAACAGG